GCCUAUGGCCAUACCCCUCUGCAUGUGCCAAAUCUAAGCAGGGUUGAGCCUGGUUAGUAUUUAGAUGGGAGACCACCUGGGAAUACUAGAUGCCAUAGACA
ensembl:rRNA 5S_rRNA 5S ribosomal RNA